UACGAAGGGGGCUAGCGUUGUUCGGAAUUACUGGGCGUAAAGCGCGCGCAGGCGGUCUUCCAAGUCAGUGGUGAAAGCCCGGAGCUCAACUCCGGAACUGCCAUUGAAACUGUUGGACUUGAGUACGAGAGAGGUGAGUGGAAUUCCCAGUGUAGAGGUGAAAUUCGUAGAUAUUGGGAAGAACACCGGUGGCGAAGGCGGCCUUCUGGACCAGUACUGACGCUCAUGCACGAAAGCCGGGGGAGCAAACAGG
rnacentral:rRNA from 1 species